CAAUAGCGUAUAUUAAAGUUGUUGCAGUUAAAAAGCUCGUAGUUGGACCUUGGACCUGGACAGGCGGUCCGCCUCACGGCGUGUACUGUCUUGCUGGGUCUUUCCUCUUGGUGAUCUGUUGUUUCGGCAGCAGGGAACUAGGACUUUUACUUUGAAAAAAUUAGAGUGUUCAAAGCAGGCUCGACGCCGGAAUAUAUUAGCAUGGAAUAAUAAAAUAGGACGUGCGGUUCUAUUUUGUUGGUUUUUGGAAUCGCCGUAAUGAUUAAUAGGGACAGUCGGGGGCAUUAGUACUCACAUGCUAGAGGUGAAAUUCUUGGAUUUUGUGAAGACUAACUUCUGCGAAAGCAUUUGCCAAGGAUGUUUUCAUUAA
rnacentral:rRNA from 1 species